UACGAAGGGGGCUAGCGUUGUUCGGAAUUACUGGGCGUAAAGCGUGCGUAGACGGUAGCGUAAGUCAGAUGUGAAAGCCCCGGGCUCAACCUGGGAACUGCAUUUGAGACUGCUCUGCUCGGGUGCGGAAGAGGGAAGCGGAAUUUCCGGUGUAGCGGUGAAAUGCGUAGAUAUCGGAAGGAACACCAGUGGCGAAAGCGGCUUCCUGGUCCGACACCGACGUUCAGGCACGAAAGCGUGGGGAGCAAACAGG
rnacentral:rRNA from 1 species